CAGGGCUCAAACGAGUGAUUGAGCACCUGGUGGGAAGGCAGGGCCAACCCAGGGGAGCUCAGGUGCAUGUAAUGUAGCUAAAUGACUGGGAGUGGUGGACCCGGGAUAUACCCCUUCCCAGCCCUCAUUUAAGGGUUGGCAGUGGAAGGAUGGGUAUCUCUUGUUGGAGGUCCCUGUGAAUCUAUAGUCUUCUGAAGGUGUAAAAGAGAUGUUGAAAUACUGUCUGCAAUGAAGAGAAAUUACCUGGACACCUUUCAGCAGAAAUUGCUGUGUGCAAGCUGAUGUCUUUUUCCUUCUACAAAGGAUUUUAACAACCUUGUUGCAUAGGACUUAAAGAAAUCAAAUGUGUGGCACGAUACCGCAGCUCUUCAAAGCAUUAUGUGCACAGUACAGAUACAGAUGUCCCGAGUGUUUCACCUCAUUCACCCAACUGCACUUGAAGAUGUCCUUGGAAUGAGGAACACUUCAAAGAUUCAAGUCCAAGUUUCAAGUUCAUUGUGGUUGUUGAAGAGCACCAGUGUUUAAGCACUUUACUCCAGGCCUCUCUUUGGUUCUGAAAGCAUCAGAUAACAGCUGCAAGCUUUAAAAAGCAGCUGGAUAUAAGUGAUGUACCCUAUAAUCUGUUCAAAGCCUUUUGUACUGUAACACUUCUGUCUUUGAAACCAAUAAUCUCUUUUUUUUUUUGUUUCAAACUUUUUGAUGGAUUAUGUUUCUUGGAAUUGCCCAGACUCUCCAAACUGAGGUUUGUUUUGAGGAACUGUAGGGGCUGGGUUUUAAUUUGUCCCAGUUUUCUCCUCUUGCUGUAUUAUGCAAGCUUCUCAUUUUGUGUUUAUACCAUUAAGAUAUUGCUUAGGAAUACUAUUACUUGAAUAGUUCUGGAGAUCAAAUUGCCCAUGGAAAUACCACAUGCGAUAAUGCUGUUAUACUCUGAUUAUAUUAUAUGCUAUUGUGUAUUGUAAUUAGACAUAUUUUAAAAUAGUAUCCCCUAAGGCCAAUGAAAUCAUGUAAUUCACAACUACUAGGUUAUCCUAAGCAGUCUGAAGGUUCUGGAUGAGUAGACCAGCUCCUGGAAGUCAGUUUUGUGGGAGACCUAUUGGACAACCCUGUGGCGAAAGCUGCUGGCAGCUACUACUGUCUGGGAAAUUGGUUAUAUAAUGUGUGAUGGAGUUUAAAGGGCCCAAGGGUAGCAUUUUCCUAAUGAUAGGGAAUAAAACUGCCCAUAGGAAUACUGAGGAGCUGGAGGUAGGAAGCGGUUCCAGUGUUGAGAAUGUUUUGUCGUAGUUCUGACUGUAAGUCUUCUCUCAGGAAGAGAGGUGGAGUGGUUGGAUAUGUUUGUAGCUGCAUGCUGUUAUCUAAAACUACUUGUAUUUUUUAUGUAGACAAUACUUUGGAGCAAUUUCUAUGAAGUUAUGUGUUAAGCAUUGUUAUUAAUUGUAAGCAGUUGUUUGUAAUGCUUUGAACUAAGUAAAAUCACCUUCAGGUGAUUUUUCUUUUUUUCCCCACUAGUAUUGCUUCUACACAUCCAUAAUGGUACUAUGCUGAUACAACCUAUCUGAAUGAAGUGAAAUAAUGCUUCCUUUGCAGUGUUCAGAGUGCAGGCCUUAAUCAUCCUUAAUUUCUAAGUCUAAUCCUCAAGUUAGAACAAGUAUUUUUUUAAUCUUCUUGUGCAACAGAUAAGCUUCUUGUAGAACCACUAUUGCUGAAUGAGAAAUACCACCCUGGAUGUUUUGCAGCCCUCUCAGGGUGACUGAGGAAACUGUUAAAGACAUGGAAGUGGAUUGCUACUUGUGGCAUACUAGCAUGUAACACCGAUCUGUAACAGUAACUCCAUCACUAAAAAUCUUGGCAGGAAUGGUUGUGGUAACUGAAGUGUAAUGUAAAUGUAUCAAAAUGAUAGGAAUUAAUUUUGAAUUACACUUUCAUUUAGUUUUGUUCUAAUAACUUAAUUUUACUAGUAAAGAGUUUAAAACUAAGAACUUCAAGGCACGUUUUCACAAGUUUGUUCUUGAAACUUGGGGAAAUAAUCUCCGUGCUCCUGAUCUGUGUAGGAGUUCUUGCAUGAGGAGUAGUGGAUUGAGUUCCCUCAGGUUUAAUGCCAGAGUUAACUGAAAGCCCAGAGACAAAAGCUUUGUCGUUGUUUCUGAGGCUGCACUUCUGAUUCAUUCUGUUCGCUAAUUCACUGUGUCUUGAGAAUGCUGAUCCCAGAUCAGAAUAUGAGCUUGAAAAUGCUGUAACAUUAAAAUCACAGUUGAGAUAGUGGGUAUAUUUCUGCUCCAUCUAUAGUGUUCAAGACUAAUAGGCUUGUUUUUUUUUCCAACCCACUAUAGUAAGAUAAUUCAGCAGAAACUUCUAAUUA
rnacentral:lncRNA from 1 species